GGCAAGCUAGUAUUUGUAGGCUAACCCUUGCUCCUAGUCAAAUUAGAUUUGGCUUAAACCUUGUUUAAUUAGGCUUAUUUAUUUAUGUAGGACCCUGAUUGGAUCGAGCCUAAAGGGGGUAGCUAAGUUUGGACAUCCCCAAGCCUUAUCUACGCCCAUAUUAAAGAGUCCAAAAGGAGUUGGACUCUGGGGGGUGCCAAUUUUGUGCGACAAAUACAUUUAGCAUGCAAAAG
rnacentral:lncRNA from 1 species